UUAAGUAGUUUUUAGCUAUAAUUUUUAUACUUAAUUUAAUUAUAUAUAAGAUUUAAUUUUAAUAAAAAUAAUUUUUAAAUAGAAUUAUUAAUUUUAUUUAAUAGGUAGUAGUAAUUAAUUCUAUAAAUUUAAGAAAUUAAGAUAUGGAGAUUUAAAUUAGUAUAGACAAAUUUUGUGCCAGCAGUUGCGGUUAAACAAAUUAUGCAUUAAAAAUUAUAAUUGUUUUCAAUUUAUGUGUUAAAAUUAAAUUAGUAAAAAAAUUUAUUAGGUGAAAUUAUAAGUUUUUAAAGUUGAUUUGAAAAAUCAUUAUUUAUUAAGAUUUUAAAAAAACUAGGAUUAGAUACCCUAUUAUAGAAAAGUAAGGAAUUAACUUGAUUAGUAAUUGUUAGAUUCAUGAAAAUUAAAAAAGGUGGCGGUAUUUUAGUCUUUUCAGAGGAGCCUGUUCUUUAAUCGAUAAUCCACGAUUUAGUGUACUUAUUUUUUUAGUUUGCAUAUCGUUGUAGAUUGAAUAUCUUUAAAAAGUUUGAAUAUUCAAAAUUUUUAUUUAAAAGAAGACAGAUCAAGAUGUAGUUUAUAAAUAAGGAGAAAUGGGCUACAAUAAAUUUAUUUAAGUAGAUAAGGUUUUUAAAAAAUUUUUGAAAGUGGAUUUGAUAGUAAUUUAAUUAAAAAUUUUUUAAAUGAUUUUAGCUCUAGAAUAUGUACAUAUCGCCCGUCGCUUUCAUUUAAUGUGAAAUAAGUCGUAACAUAGUAGGUGUACUGGAAAGUGUCCCUAGAAUACA
rnacentral:ncRNA from 1 species